rnacentral:rRNA from 1 species
CACUCAACAGCUAGCUUAAACAACUAAAAUCAACAAACACUAUUACUAAA